rnacentral:siRNA from 1 species
CGCAUCAUUCAAAUUUCUGCCC